rnacentral:rRNA from 1 species
UACGAAGGGAGCUAGCGUUGUUCGGAAUCACUGGGCGUAAAGCGCACGUAGGCGGACGUGUCAGUCAGGGGUGAAAUCCCGGAGCUCAACUCCAGAACUGCCUUUGAUACUGGCGAUCUCGAGUCCGGGAGAGGUGAGUGGAACUGCGAGUGUAGAGGUGAAAUUCGUAGAUAUUCGCAAGAACACCAGUGGCGAAGGCGGCUCACUGGCCCGGUACUGACGCUGAGGUGCGAAAGCGUGGGGAGCAAACAGG